rnacentral:rRNA from 1 species
AUUGAACGCUGGCGGCAGGCCUAACACAUGCAAGUCGAGCGGAUGAAGGGAGCUUGCUCCUGGAUUCAGCGGCGGACGGGUGAGUAAUGCCUAGGAAUCUGCCUGGUAGUUGGGGAUAACGUCCGGAAACGGGCGCUAAUACCGCAUACGUCCUGAGGGCGAAAGGGGGGGAUCUUCGGACCUCACGCUAUCAGAUGAGCCUAGGUCGGAUUAGCUAGUUGGUGGGGUAAAGGCCUACCAAGGCGACGAUCCGUAACUGGUCUGAGAGGAUGAGCAGGCACACUGGAACUGAGACACGGUCCAGACUCCUACGGGGGGCAGCAGUGGGGAAUAUUGGACAAUGGGCGAAAGCCUGAUCCAGCCAUGCCGCGUGUGUGAAGAAGGUCUUCGGAUUUUAAAGCACUUUAAGUUGGGAGGAAGGGCAGUAAGUUAAUACCUUGCUGUUUUGACGUUACCAACAGAAUAAGCACCGGCUAACUUCGUG